AAAAUCUCUUUUUUUCGAUUUUUUUGGGUGAUUUCUUGUUGUUUUGUCGAAUAUUAUGUGAUUUUUUAAGUACUCAUUUGUAGUUCUUUCGUUACUUUUGUUGAUAACCCACCAUGUGUUUGAUACUGCGCGGCAAUGGUGUAAAUUAGCUUAUUUUGAGAUUUGAUGAAACCCGAAUUUGCAAUAAGAGAUGUUAUAGUAAUUAUUGUGUUGAUUUGUUGAAUACCCAUUCGUGGAUCUUGCUCUUCUUUGGAGGGUUUGUGUUGUUUUUGUAAGAUCUGGUGUAACCUACCUGGUGUUUGAUAAUAUGUGUCAAUGGUGUAUCUAUAGAUUUAGCUGAUAUAUGAGUUGCUUUUGUUUGCUAGAUCUUGAAGAUCCAUAUCUAGAAUUUGCGAUAAGAAAAUGGAUCAACUAGCGGUCAGCGGCCCGAAGAGCAAUUGGGAAGCGGCGGUCGAGCCGAUCCUGAAACUCUUGAGCCUCACGGUGAUCGGCCUCAUACUCGGCCACCCGAAAACCCGGGUCAUUCCGAGAGCCACUUUCAAGCUCUUGAGCAAGCUCAUCUUCGCGCUCUUCCUGCCGUGCCUCAUCUUCGUCCAAUUGGGCGAAUCCAUCACUUUGAAAGAAGUCCUUUUGUGGUGGUUCGUCCCCGUCAAUGUGCUCCUCAGCACGGUGAUCGGAUGCGCUCUUGGGUAUGUCGUGGCCGUCGUAUGCCGCCCUCCGCCGCAGUUCUUUCGGUUCACCGUGAUCAUGACCGGAUUUGGAAACACGGGUAAUCUCCCCAUCGCCAUAAUUGGCUCACUCUGUGACACCUUAGACCAGCCGUUCGGUCCCAACUGCCAGAGAACGGGCAUCGCUUACCUCUCCUUCGCUCAAUGGGUCGCCGUGAUCCUUGUCUAUACCUUGGUCUACCACAUGAUGGAGCCGCCCAUGGAGUAUUACGAGGUAGUCGCGGACGAAAACGAGAUACACGCAGCACAGGAGCCCAUCGGCGAUAUAAGUCGGCCUCUUCUUCAGGAAGCUGAGUGGCCGGGCAUGAACGAUAAAGAGACCGAGAGCUCAAAGACGCCCUUUAUCGCCAGAGUCUUCAUGAGCGUCUCGGGAUCUUCUCUAAACACGUUCCCUGAUUUUGACUUGAGCGAGGAGGGGAUCACUGGAGGUGCCGGGCCCAGUAGUCCCAAGUCUCUUAGGUGCUUGGCCGAGCCGAAGGUUGUAAGACGGAUUAGAAUCGUAGCCGAGAAGACGCCGAUUAUACAAAUUCUUCAACCACCCACGAUUGCUUCUUUCUUAGCCCUUAUUGUCGGGACGGUGCCUAUAUUUCGGAAUUUCGUAUUUGGCAGCGAUGCCCCGCUCUCAUUCUUCACAGAUAGUUUGGCGAUAUUGGCAGAAGCCCUCAUUCCGUCGGUGAUGCUUAUAUUGGGAGGAAUGCUUGCGGAAGGCCCCAACGAUUCAUCUCUCGGGCUAAGGACGACUAUCGGAAUCACCGUCGCAAGGCUAUUAAUUCUUCCUUUUAUUGGAAUCGGCGUAGUAGCUUUGGCCGAUAAAUUGAAUAUCCUGAUUGUUGGAGAUAAAAUGUAUCGUUUCGUGCUUCUGCUGCAAUAUACAACUCCGACCGCCAUUCUAUUGGGGGCUAUCGCCAGCUUGCGGGGAUAUGCAGUGAAGGAAGCUUCGGCGCUCUUGUUCUGGCAGCAUGUGUGUGCAGUGGUGUCGCUCUCUGCUUAUAUCGUCGUCUACUUCAAUCUGCUUGCCUACAUCUGAGGUGGUAUGGUAUCAUACUUGCAGCGUUUUCUACUAUAUCCGCUGAACAAAAUGCAUGUAAUGAAAAUCAACUGCUAUAUCUUAAUUAUAUGCAUCUGUACCUAUGUUUUAUUUGCAAUUUCAUUGACCAAACACUCCUAAUGCUUACACAGGAUUACAGGAUCAACUAGUGAUAUAUUUCUAGAAAGAGUUAAUUGCAUACAAGUCCCCGCAAGCAUUAUGAAUUGUAGGUAUAUUCCUAUAAAGUUCAACUUUUAUUAAGUUAUCCCUGCAAAAAUUCUAAUGUUUUCAUAUAUGUCCCUGUCGUUAGAAUCCAUUAGAAAAGUUUUUUUUACCCGGAUUAAUGUUUGCCAUUUUUACCCCUCUUAUAUAAUAUUGUUAAACUUUUGGAGGGAUACAUUUGUGAUGGUAGAAUUGAAAAUAUAAAUAGUUUUCUAACGGUUCUUUAACGGUAACAAACCAGAGGGACAUAUCCGAAAACAUUAGAAUUUUUGAAGAGAUAAUUUAUGAAAGUUGAAAUACAAAAAUAUAUUUAUAAUUCACUAUGUUUGCGGGGACCGGUAUACAAUUAACCCUUCUAGAAAAAGUAUUUAAAAUAAUUUUGUGUAACGGGAAAAGGAACCAUACAUAUCAGAGACAAAUAAGUGAUACAAUGGUAAAAUUUUUCUUAGCCUUGUGGAGGGGAAGAGACAUUAUAUUGGAUCUUAACGGAUCUCCUGCUAGAGUUGUCCAAAAUACUCGUACCUGACUUGGACCCGAUUAAAAGUAGACAGUAUAUAGGUAAGAAAAAUUACCCAUUGAAAUUUCCGGUGUGAGUCCUAAUACCCUAUGAUACCUUAUAUUCAUAUCCGACCCAGACACAAUCCUUUGGUGGGCAAGAUUCGGAAUAGCUUAUCCAAACCCGGAACCGGACCCUUACCCGGAUAAGGGUCCAGUAAAAUACCCAACCAUCAGCAGUUAAAAUAAAAAGAAAAAAUAGAAAAACUUAUAAGAGAUUUAAAAACUUAAUACUUGUUUUUUCAAUAUAAUAUUUCAGACUUAUUAUGUAUAAUAAGUUUUAACUACAAUAUAGUAGGUGCAUAUGUUUUAGACUUUUGAUGUAUGCUAUGUCACUAAUUGUAUAUAUUUUAUACAGUUAUAUUAGGGAUAAUUUUAUACAGCUUAUAAACAUAUCGAAUAGCAGAUAUAUUCAUGAAAAGUUCAAGUUUUUAGAUUUAUCCUUUCAAAAGUCGAGUGAUGUUCAUAUUUGUCUCUAUGUUUUGUUAUUAUUAGCUCACUAUUUAUUUUAUAACGAAAAGUAAGUAAAAUGUCACUUUUGUCAUCACAAUAUGUCCCUUCAAAAAUCACAACUAUUAGAAUCAUGUAGAAUUAUUCUCAUAAAAAAAUUUCUAAUUAUCAUCUCUUCCUGUAUAAAAAUUAAUCCAAUCCACUAUUGUUAUAACUUCUUCUCUACCUCUUCUCUCACUCCCUGUUUUUUUCUUUACCUAUCUAUUACUAAUUCCUCGGCGCUCAACGUGGGCGAAAUAACACCCGUGGUGGAUGAAUGGGGAUAGAUAAACCCUAAUUAUGAGUUCGAAACUAAAUGAGGAUGUUAGGAUUUGGUUAGAUUUGUAGUUAAAUCCUAUUUGGAUAAGAAUUAAUAUUUAAAUCUGUUUGAGAUAAAUUAAGAUUUAAAUAUUAAUUAGAUGAUAAACCUAACUAGAUUAGGAUUAAUAUUUAAAUCUAUUAGAAAUUAAUUAAGAUAGAUUUAGAUAUUAAUUGGAGUAGAAAUCCUAAAUAUAUUAGGAUUGGGGUACGUUUUAGUGGAGCCUUAUAAAUAGCUCUUUGUGGGUUUGCUUUUGAUGUGAAGUACGGGAGAGAGAGAGAGAGAGUCUCUUGGGUUGCCAUACCAGAGAGAGAAAAAGAGAGAGAGAGAGUUAUUUAAUUAUGCUUUGAGUGCACCUAGUGCACGGGUGCAUGUGAAGGAUUGUCUUCUUUAUGGGUUUAUAGAAUACGAGAGAAGGGUAGAAAAGAUUCAGAAAGAGGGCUCGGGUUGUAGCUACUCUGUGCAGAAGAGGAGUCAGGUGUAAUCUUCUCUUAUUUAAUGAAUCUUAUUUUACUCGCAUAUUUUCUGUUUUUUGGUAUUUCUCUCUUUUAUGAUUGUAUCAGCUUUUGCUGAGGAGACGGGUUUAUGGUAAAAACCCGAUUCGACGCUUCCGUUGCGAAAUCCCAACAAUCGAUACCGGAUCCACAGCAGUCGGUAUCGGAGCGGGUUGCGGAUUCACGAGAUCCGGUACCGGGGCGAGUACCGGAUUCCCAACAGAGGAAAAGAUAGAGGAAGAGGAAAAGAAGAGAAAGAAGAAGAACCUAGAGUUUUCAUUAGUAGGGUUUUAAUUGAAUUAGACUUUUGAUUAAGAGAAAAGGUAUCAUAUCUGAGGGAUAAAAAGGUAAAUUUACCUCACUCACUAACCAGGUUAAAUAUUUUAUCUGUAGUUAAUUAUAUUUUUUAAUGGACACUAACAAUAAGAAUAAAUUUGAAAUUAUUAAGACUUUUGAGGGACAAAUAUGAAAACUUGAACUUUGUAGGGAUAAAUGUGUUAUUCGAUAUAUUUACGAUGGUUAGUUAAUUUGCGAAUUAUUCGCGAAUUAUUCGCGAUUUUUUGAAAAAAUGAAUUAAAGAGCUGUUUCCGUAUUUUUCUGAAAAAUUCAGAAAAAAAACGCGAUUUUUUGAGGAAAAAUAAUUAUUCGCGAAUCGUGAAUAAUUCCUUCAAAAAAAAGGGCCUUGGGCCUGCACCGCGCCUGGGCCUACGCUCGCGGCAGGGCCUGCACUCGCGCGCGCGCCUGCGCUCAAGGGUCGCGAGCCUCGUGGCUCGCGGGCCUUUUCAGAUACAUGAUGAUAAAAAAAAAAAAAAAAAAAAAAAAAAAAAAAAAAAAAAAAAAAAAAAAAAAAAAAAAAAAAAAAAAAAUCCUUUUUCAAAACGUUCGCCCUAUUCUUCCCUUAAAAAAAAAAAAAAAUCAGUCUAUCGAAAAAGUUUAAUUUUUUAUGGACUAUCUUAAUCUCUUAUUUACUUAAUUAUUUAUUUAUUUAUUUUGAGGCACAAUAUAGUUUGCUAUUUUUUUUUUACUUAAUUAGCUUAAUUGUGUAACUCUUUAUUUUUAUCUAUACUACUUAUAAAAGCGUGAGUUUUAAAUUUUUUCCUCUUUCCAAAAAUACCUUUAUCUUUUCUACUAAUAUUUUCAUGUCCAGUAAUUUGCAACCAUUUGUUUCAAUAAUUUUUCAAAUAAUAAUUUAUUCUCAAAUAUAGAUCUUAAAUUUUAAAUAAUAAUUUAUUCUCAAAUAUAGAUCUUAAAUUUUUACUAUCUCUCACUUUUCUUAACCAAAAUAUCCUCAAUAUCCGUUAUCUCAUAUCUACGCAUUUUACAAAUAUCUACGCAUUUUCUCAAACGUAAUUCCUGUCAUAACUUAAAAUAUCCAUUAUAUCAUAUCUACGGGGUUCCUUAAAUAUUUUGUUUCUCACACACGUUUUCUCAAACGCGUCAUCAAUUAAAAUAUCCGUUAUAUCCUAUUUACGUGUUUUUCAAAUAUUUUCUUUCUCACACGUAAUACUUGCGCCAAUCACGUAAAAUAUUACUAAAAAGAUUUAAUACCCACCUAAGCAAAACUAAAUUGUUAAUUAAAUAUAAUUUUAUAUUUUAAAAUUUUUUUAGUAAAAUAUUCAAAGUAAUACCACCAAAAUAUCUUAUGCGUUUCUCAAAUAUAGAACAUAUCUUAAUGCAUUCGCAUAUAAUAUCUAUAUAUCUUUCCAUAUAAUAUCUACACUAUCCAAUCUUUAUCUCAUCAUAAUAUUUAUUCACACACAAAAUAUUUUUUAAAAACUUAACUUAAUAGCCGAAUUUUUUAUCCCCAAUUUUUAAUUGGUGAACGUAUAAUAUCUGUAUAAAUCACGUACCCGAAUAAUUGGUGAAUCUGCUUUUUAGCUAUAUUUUUCAACGAAUUUAAAAAUUAGAAGACGAAUUUUAUCCGAAUUAUACUUGUACCGAAUUUUUUCCGAAUCCAAAUUAACUAAUUAUGAUAUUUACAAGGACUGUAUGAAAUUAUCCCAUUAUAUCAUACUAGUGAAAUACCCGCGCGAUGCUGCGGAUAUAAAAAUAUUUUUAUAAUAAAUUUUAGUUUUUUAUUUUUUUUAUAUAAUUUUAUGAGUCUAAUUAUUAAUUAAAUAAAGUUAUAUAAAAAUAAUUUAAUAGUUAAUUUUAUUUAAAUAAAAAUUAUUAAAACAAUAACUUAUUUUAUAAAGAUUUAUGUGAAAAAAAUUUGAGAUAAAUAAUAAUUUAAGAAAUUAAUAAAUAGAAGGGAAAUAAAAUAAUAGAAGAAUUUGUUUAAUAAAAUUAAUUAAUUAUAUAUAUAGCCGCAUUAGCUGGAAUUACUAUUAAUAGUAAAACGCUCUUUUUGCUAUCAAGUUUUUAACCCUUAGAUGAAAAUUUGUAGGGUCAGGAUGAUAUUCUCGGUUAGAGUUGAGUGUCCCCUAGGGUUGAGUGGUCCCCACUGGGUUAUAGUAUUUAAUCCAAUAGUUAGAAAUAAUAAAAAAAAAGUUAAUCCAAAGGCUAAAAAAUUGGUAGCAACAAUGAAAUUUUGCUACUAAUAGUAGCCCAGUCCAACUCUCUAUAUAUAUACAUAACGUACUAUAUUCUCUAAAAUCUUACUCGUCAAAUUUAAAUUAUGUAUUUUUUUAUACAUUGAUCAUAUUAGAUUUUAUUAUGCGAUUUAUUACGUGUAUUAUUAAAAAUAUUAAUUAUUUAUAUUAGAUACAAUUAAUUAUUAAUAUAUUAGUUAAUUAAUUUUAUAGAGUUUAGCAAUUUCAAAUUCUAAAUUUUGAAGUUUAAAAUUUAGAAAUAAAUAUUAUAUAUUAAAAAUUAAAAUUUGUAAUUUAAAUUUUGGAAAUUAAAACUUUGAAAUUUGAAAGUAUCAAAAUUUCAAAUUUUGAUAUUGAAAAUUUAAAAUUUUAUACUAUAAAAUUUUAAAACCCAUAAUAUAUUACUAUAUAUUCACUAUACUAUCUGAUUAUAUAGUAUAUAGAGUUAUAUAUAUACCUACCGCUAUCAUUACGGAAUAUAUAUUAGGAGAGAGAGUAGGGGAGGGUUCGGGGGACACGUGUCACCCCAUGGUCCUUCCAAACCCUCGUUUAAUGUAGUAGUAAGUAAGUAUAGUAUAAGUAAGUAAGUAUAAGUAUAGAGUAUAGAUAGAUAGAUAUAGACAUAGAUGUGUUUAUAUGUAUUUGGAUUUAUUAAUAUAAUUUUAACUAUUAUGUUGUUUUUCGUGUUUAGAGUAGUGGUUCUAUUUGGUUUAGAAUAAUUAAUACAUAUAUGUAACUAUUAAAUAUUUUGUAUUUUUAUUAUAAACAUAUAAUAUAGUAAAUAUUUGUGUUUUAUGCUAUGAAUACGCAUCGAUAGAUAGAUAUAUUAGUAAUUUAAAUAUUUAGAUCUAAGCUUGUUUCUGAAUGAAUAGGAUAUACAUAUUAUUUAUUUAUUUUUUUUAAGAUAUUGAUAGGAUAUAUCUAAACAUGUGAAGUGACAUCAAUCUUACCCUAAUAAGCACAAGCCAAUAAUCCUUCUUAUUUUCAUGAUAGAGAUGUUUAUAGUUUAUUUUUAUUUAUUAUUUCGGUUAAUUAUACCACUAGUCCUCGUGAAUUUUUUAUUUUAGCUCUCAAUCUUUUUUAUUUUACAAUUAAAUUCCUUGCAGUCAAAAUCUCUCUUUGGACACCGAACAAUAUUUGUUACUCCGAAUUAUAUCAGAACUAAAUUUUACUAUGUGGCAUUUUAAUUAGAAUUUACGGUAUUUUUUGCCCCAUAUAUUUAAUCAAAAUAAAAAUUAAAAGUUGGGGACUUAAUAGCAAGAAAAAAGAGGUAGGAUAUCAAAAUAAAAAAUCGAAAAAAAAAUGUUGGAGACUAGGGAUGGAAAUGGAUGCCGGUUUGUUGAGCUCUUGCUCUGAUCCAUCUUAGAUGGGGCGGUAAGUGAAAAUAAAAAGAUAGAAAAAUAUAAAGUCCUGAUUUUCCAAAAUAAAAAAUAGAGCGAAAAGUUGGAGACCUUUUUCUUUUUUUGAUUCGCCUCGUUCUGCUAAAGUGGUAAGUUAGGGGCCUAAAAAAAGAAAAAAAAAUUAAUUUGUUCUGAAUCCGCCCUGACUCGACAAGAAACAAAGCGCACUCGUCCCUAUUCGAGACCAGUGGUGCGAUUAGUUUAAUUUUCUCCUAUAAAACAACUACUGUACCAUAAGACAAAUAUAUUUUAAAAUAUACUACAUUAUUUUUUUAUUUCUAACAUUUUUAUAUUAGCUUUUCUCAUCAUUUUAAAGAGACACUAAUUUUCAAAUUCUGAAAAUGUUUCUAAAUUAACUGUUAUUUAUAACAGUACUCGAUUUUGAAGGUUAAAAUUGAUAAUUAAAACUCUAUAUUGAUAAAUCUAGGAUUAUAAAACUUUGCUACGAUAUGUAAAAGAAAUUGUCCAAGGCCCCCUUCUAAAAUUACCUAUAGUUGAGGGAUCUCAAUACACUUUUACACAUUUUUUAAUUAAUAUUUAGUUGAGAGAUCUCAAUACACUUUUACACUUUUUUUAAUUAAUAUUAAUAUAAUAAAAUUAAUGUAGAAUGUUUAAAUAUGUAUCUUUAGAGGGGUAUUAUUCUAAAAUCGAAUUGCGCAGCUCUCCAAUCAUUGAUGCCAUGGCGUGUAGUGCCAAAACACAGAAAUAAAAGGAGACCAGUUACAUUGCACUUGCCAUAUACGUUACAUUAAAUUAAAUAAAAUUUAUAUUUAUAUUUUAAAUUUAAAUAGUUAUUUAUGGUACAAGUCUAUUUAUCAAAAAAAUUUUUAAUUUUAAUUUAUCUUCGGAAAAGUUUAUUAUUUUUAAUUUAGUUAUACUGUAAAUAUUUCUCAUAUGUAUUUUAUAAUAUACAAUUCUUUUUAAUGUGUGUACAAAUUUUAAAAAUUCGAUCUAAAGUAUAAAUUUUAAGUUAAUAAAUUCAAAUUUAAAUUUUUGAACAAAAUUCAAAAUUUAAAACUAAUUUUGAAUCCAUGAUUUGAAUAUAAAUAGUUAUUGGAAAUAUAGAUUUAUUUAUCUACUCAUCUAUCUUUCAAAUUUGAUAUAUUUUCAAAUUAAUUAAUUAUUUUUAUUUUAAAACAAUCUAUUUAAAGAGCCAAAUAUUAAAAUUUUAAAUCAAUUUUAAAUUUUAAAUUUAAAUUUGGAUUCACGUUUGAAAUUAUGAAGCAAACUUAAAAUUUAAAAUCGAUUUGAUAGGUUUAUUUUUUAAUCAUUAUAUUUUUCAAACAUAAUUUAUUUUUAGUUAUUUAAUUGGGAGAUAGUGGAUACUACAAAAAUUUAAAAUUUACAAUAAAAUUUACAAUAAAAAUUACAAUAAAAAUUUACAAUAAAAAUUAUAUUUUAUAAAUUUUUAUGUUAUAUUAUAUUAGAAAAUAUCUACAAGAUCCUAUAUUAUGUUUUUAUAUUUUUUGAGUUCUAAUAAAUUUAAAAUUUAACUUUAUUGUUUAAACUAAAAGCAUCAAAAUUUAAUUCACAUUUACUUUGAAAUUUGAAACUUAAUUAUGAUUCAUCAUAAUUAAAUAUUUUAAUUGUUAAUUCAAAUUUGAUAUCCAAAAUUUAUAAAUUUAAAUUUGUUAAAAUUUAAUUUUGAUUCAUUAUAAUUUAAAUUUUUUUAAUAGUUAAUUCAAAUUUGAUAUUCAAAAUUAAAUUCAGUUCAUGAUUUAAAAUUCACGUUUUUAUAAGUAGCAUAGAUAAAUAAGUAAUGUAAAAAAAUGUAGGGAGAACCCUCAGUUAUACCCAAUUUUUUAAAUGCCCCAUCAAGUCAGAUGUUUUAUUUAUACUUUCUCAACUUUUUUGUUGUCAUUUUUUCUAAAAAAAAGUAGAUAAUUUUAGUUAAGUAAGAUAAAAAUUUUAGGAAAUUUAUUGAUGAUUCCAUCAAAUGUUAAAUUAUUUUCUAGCAAAUAAAAGAUUUAAAAAUGUUAAACUUUAUUAUUAUUUUUUGGACUCACAUUCUCUCAACUUUUGAUCGUUCGCAGUUGAGUGAUUUUAAUCAAGUAAAUCAGAGAUUUGAACAGAAUAAUUUUAUAAAAUUUAUUAAUUUUAUUAAAUUUUGAUAAAUAAAAUUAUAAUAAUUAACAACUGAUAACUAAUACAAGCCAUUAAAUUAGAAAAAUAAAAAAUAAUAAUAAAGUUGAGAGAGUAAUUUCAAAAUAUCCUAUCGUUGAGGGGUUUUGUACAUUUUUGCGGGACCGGAUACUAUAUCAUCAUGUGAGGAAAAUAUCCUCUUUAAAUCUCGUGUAGCCGCCCGAUCUCGUACGGACGGUAGUGACGAAGUUCCUUUUUUUCUCUCUCUUCUGUUGAAUCUCGGAUACGCUUCAAAUUUUUUAAGGUAAACAUGCAUGGAUACCCCUCGACUAUAGGCUAUUUUGAAAUGGUUCCCUCACCCUUUAUUAUCAAACUUCUUUUAUUUGCGUUUUCAUGCAUGUUGCUCCAAUAAUGUUAUAAAAUUUGAUAAAUUUGAGAAAAACUAAAGUUGCUUAAUUCCAAAUAAUUAGAUCUCAAUUAAAAAAAAAAAAGAGUUUAGAGAUCUAUUAAAAAGCCUACAAUAGGUGAGGGGUCUCCUGACAUUUUUACCUUUUUUUUAUAUCAAAUGGACAAGCUCGUGGGGAUCUCUCGGCCCCGCUUCUCCUCUCUCCUCAUCGAUUCCUCUCGAAGCCAAAAAAAAAAAAAAAAAAAGAAAAAAAGAAAAAAGCAAAAAUCUCCAACGCAGUUUCCGUGAAUCCAAUCCCCAUCUCUCCCCCUGCUUUCUCGUGCUGCAGCAGCAGCAGCUUCUUCUUCUUUCUACGUUUCACGAGGUACCCACCAUGUCGAAAAAAUCUCUUUUUUUCGAUUUAUUUUUUUGGUGAUUUCUUGUUGUUUUGUUGAAUAUUGUGUGAUUUUUUAAGUACCCAUUUGUAGAUCUUUCUUUAGUUUUGUUGAUAACCCACCAUGUGUUUGAUACUGUGCGGCAAUGGUGUAAAUUAGCUUAUUUUGAGAUUUGAUGAAACCCGAAUUUGCAAUAAGAGAUGUUUUAGUGAUUAUUGUGUUGAUUUGUUGAAUACCUAUUCGUGGAUCUUGCUCUUCUUUGGAUGGUUUGUGUUGUUUUUGUAAGAUCUGCUAUAACCUACCUGGUGUUUGAUAAUAUGUGUCAAUGUUGUAUCUAGAGAUUUAGCCGAUAUAUAAGUUGCUUUUGUUUGCUAGAUCUUGAAGACCCAUCUCUAGAAUUUGCGAGAAGAAAAUGGAUCAACUAGC
rnacentral:lncRNA from 1 species